AAGUCAGCCAAUUAAUCUGCUUACUUGAACGUGUUUCUGCAGAAAUUCAGAAAAAGCUGGCAAUAGUGCUGCCAUGUUUAUGAGCCUUAAGGACAACUGAGGCCAUUAAGCUUCCCGAAAAAUAGCUACAAUA
ensembl:snoRNA